UUUCGCAAUGCCCGAAAGGGUGACGAAGCGACGCCGCGUGGGUGAGGAAGGCCCUCGGGUUGUAAAGCCCUGUCAGGAGUUAAGAAAUGCAGGUGUGCUGAUAUCACACCUGCUUGACGAAGGCUCCAAAGGAAGUCACGGCUAACUCUGUGCCAGCAGCCGCGGUAAUACAGAGGUGGCAAGCGUUGUUCGGAAUUAUUGGGCGUAAAGAGCACGUAGGUGGAUUUGUAAGUCAGAUGUGAAAGCCUUCUGUUCAACGGAAGAAUUGCAUCUGAAACUACAAACCUUGAGUGUAGGAGGGGAGAAUGGAACUUCUGGUGGAGCGGUGAAAUGCGUAGAUAUCAGAAGGAACGCCGGCGGCGAAAGCGAUUCUCUGGCCUAUUACUGACACUCAGUGUGCGAAAGCUAGGGGAGCAAACGGGAUUAGAUACCCCGGUAGUCCUAGCCGUAAACGAUGGGCACUAAGUAGAGGGGUUUUA
rnacentral:rRNA from 1 species